CGGGACGGGUGAGUAACGCGUGGGUAACCUGCCUUGUACUGGGGGACAACAGUUGGAAACGACUGCUAAUACCGCAUAAGCCCACGGCUCGGCAUCGAGCAGAGGGAGAAGGAGUGAUCCGCUUUGAGAUGGCCUCGCGUCCGAUUAGCUAGUUGGUGAGGUAACGGCCCACCAAGGCGACGAUCGGUAGCCGGACUGAGAGGUUGAACGGCCACAUUGGGACUGAGACACGGCCCAG
rnacentral:rRNA from 1 species